UGACCGAUAGUGAACCAGUACCGUGAGGGAAAGGCGAAAAGAACCCCGGCGAGGGGAGUGAAAAAGAACCUGAAACCGUGUACGUACAAGCAGUGGGAGCACAGGUUUACCUGUGUGACUGCGUACCUUUUGUAUAAUGGGUCAGCGACUUAUAUUCUGUAGCAAGGUUAACCGAAUAGGGGAGCCGGAGGGAAACCGAGUCUUAAUUGGGCGUUAAGUUGCAGGGUAUAGACCCGAAACCCGGUGAUCUAGCCAUGGGCAGGUUGAAGGUUGGGUAACACUAACUGGAGGACCGAACCGACUAAUGUUGAAAAAUUAGCGGAUGACCUGUGGCUGGGGGUGAAAGGCCAAUCAAACCGGGAGAUAGCUGGUUCUCCCCGAAAGCUAUUUAGGUAGCGCCUCGUGAAUUCAUCUCCGGGGGUAGAGCACUGUUUCGGCUAGGGGGCCAUCCCGGCUUACCAACCCGAUGCAAACUGCGAAUACCGGAGAAUGUUAUCACGGGAGACACACGGCGGGUGCUAACGUCCGUCGUGAAGAGGGAAACAACCCAGACCGCCAGCUAAGGUCCCAAAGUCAUGGUUAAGUGGGAAACGAUGUGGGAAGGCCCAGACAGCCAGGAUGUUGGCUUAGAAGCAGCCAUCAUUUAAAGAAAGCGUAAUAGCUCACUGGUCGAGUCGGCCUGCGCGGAAGAUGUAACGGGGCUAAACCAU
rnacentral:rRNA from 1 species